GGCUGAAACCCGCCUCCAUGAAGUUGGAUUCGCUAGUAAUCGCGCAUCAGCCAUGGCGCGGUGAAUACGUUCCCGGGCCUUGUACACACCGCCCGUCACACCAUGAGAGUUGGGGAUACCCGAAGCCUGUAAGCCAACAGUUAAACGAGGCAGCAGUCGAAGGUAGAAUCAAUGAUUGGGGUGAAGUCGUAACAAGGUACC
rnacentral:rRNA from 1 species